UACGUAGGUGGCAAGCGUUGUCCGGAAUUAUUGGGCGUAAAGCGCGCGCAGGCGGUCCUUUAAGUCUGAUGUGAAAGCCCACGGCUCAACCGUGGAGGGUCAUUGGAAACUGGGGGACUUGAGGACAGAAGAGAAGAGUGGAAUUCCACGUGUAGCGGUGAAAUGCGUAGAGAUGUGGAGGAACACCAGUGGCGAAGGCGACUCGUUGGUCUGUAACUGACGCUGAGGCGCGAAAGCGUGGGGAGCAAACAGG
rnacentral:rRNA from 1 species